AUCUACGGCCAUGCCACCCUGAACAAGCCCGAUGUCUGAUCUCGGAAGCUAAGCAGGGCCAGGCCUGGUUAGUACUUGAAUGGGAGACUGCCUAGGAAGACCAGGAGCUGUAGGCA
rnacentral:rRNA from 1 species